rnacentral:misc_RNA from 1 species
UGAAAUGCGAUAAGUAAUGUGAAUUGCAGAAUCUCGUGAAUCAUCGAAUCUUUGAACGCACAUUGCGCCCUAUGGUAUUCCGUAGGGCAUGCCUGUCUGAGCGUCAGCUCCCCCCACAAUCAAAUCUCUUGUAAAGAGACUUGGAUAGUGUUGAGGAAGUAAUUGAAUAGUUACUCCUCAGAAAAGCAUAGGCAGUAUGGUUGUACCUGAAAUAGACGUGAUAAUUAUAACAUUCGUUUAGUUUUCAAGGCACAACAACACUUGCCUUACUACCCACCAAUGAUAAACAUGGGUGACCUCAGAUCAGGUAGGGAUACCCGCUGAACUUAA